UACGGGGGGGGGCAAGCGUUGUUCGGAAUUACUGGGCGUAAAGGGCUCGUAGGUGGCCAACUAAGUCAGACGUGAAAUCCCUCGGCUUAACCGGGGAACUGCGUCUGAUACUGGAUGGCUUGAGUGUGGGAGAGGGAUGCGGAAUUCCAGGUGUAGCGGUGAAAUGCGUAGAUAUCUGGAGGAACACCGGUGGCGAAGGCGGCUUCCUGGACCGACACUGACGCUGAGGCGCGAAAGCUAGGGGAGCAAACGGG
rnacentral:rRNA from 1 species